AGCGAACGCUGGCGGCAGGCCUAACACAUGCAAGUCGAACGAACCUUUCGGGGUUAGUGGCGGACGGGUGAGUAACACGUGGGAACAUGCCUUUAGGUUCGGAAUAACUCAGGGAAACUUGUGCUAAUACCGAAUGUGCCCUUCGGGGGAAAGAUUUAUCGCCUUUAGAGCGGCCCGCGUCUGAUUAGCUAGUUGGUUGAGGUAAUGGCUCACCAAGGCGACGAUCAGUAGCUGGUCUGAGAGGAUGAUUAGCCACAUUGGGACUGAGACACGGCCCAAACUCCUACGGGAGGCAGCAGUGGGGAAUCUUGCGCAAUGGGCGAAAGCCUGACGCAGCCAUGCCGCGUGAAUGAUGAAGGUCUUAGGAUUGUAAAAUUCUUUCACCGGGGACGAUAAUGACGGUACCCGGAGAAGAAGCCCCGGCUAACUUCGUG
rnacentral:rRNA from 1 species